rnacentral:rRNA from 1 species
UACAGAGGUCUCAAGCGUUGUUCGGAUUCAUUGGGCGUAAAGGGUGCGUAGGCGGCGCGGUAAGUCGGGUGUGAAAUCUUGGAGCUUAACUCCGAAACUGCAUUCGAUACUGCCGUGCUUGAGGACUGGAGAGGAGACUGGAAUUUACGGUGUAGCGGUGAAAUGCGUAGAUAUGCGGAGGAACACCGAUGGCGAAGGCAAUCCCCCUGGACCUGUACUGACGCUCAUGCACGAAAAGGCGUGGGGAGCAAACAGG